rnacentral:rRNA from 1 species
UGGCGGACGGGUGAGUAACGCGUGGGUAACCUGCCUUACACAGGGGGAUAACACCUGGAAACAGGUGCUAAUACCGCAUAAGCGCACAGGGGCGCAUGCCCCGGUGUGAAAAACUCCGGUGGUAUAUGAUGGACCCGCGUCUGAUUAGCCAGUUGGCAGGGUAACGGCCUACCAAAGCGACGAUCAGUAGCCGGCCUGAGAGGGCGGACGGCCACAUUGGGACUGAGACACGGCCCAAACUCCUACGGAAGGCAGCAG